UAACAAUGUUGGCCAAUUCAUGAAGUCUCACAGUCUGUGUUUUUCGGCACAUGCAGCCGACUGCUGCGCCGCAGCCCACAGAGUGGAGGACUCAACAUCCUGGAAAAAAGUUUAGCUCUUGGUUUCCAGAUGGUGGACGGAGCUGCUGAAGGCACCAUGGGGGGAGAGGGAAGAGACUGCUGCUGGAGGAGAACAGCACUGAGGAACACCAUCGGUACAGUAACUGCAGGAAUUGAAGAAAGA